rnacentral:tRNA from 1 species
GGUCCGUUGGCCCAAUGGUAAGGCGUCUGACUACGACUACGAAUCCCGUAGGCUAAAAGGUAAUCAGGAGAUUCUGGGUUCGACCCCCAGGCGGACCU